GGGAGUCGGACGCCUAACCAACUGAGUCACCCAGGCACCCCACCUAAGGGGAGUGAGUUGGGGGAAAGCAAGAUUGGAAAAGCCACAGGUGCACCUGGGAGGAUGGUGACGUUGACCUCAUGACUGAGGAGCUCUCUGUCCUGCCAAGAUGGACAUCCAAAGCCAUUGUCCCUGCAGCUGCAACCAGAGUGAUCUGGUCUUCAAGCUAACUCUUGUUGUCGGCUUCUGCAUUUUUCACCUUUAAAGAAAGUGGUUUUUGUUGAUCGGUGUUCCUGAUGUGUAAGAAAGAGAAAAGGCAGAAGGAGAGACGAUCCUGGAAUGCGCAAUCACCUGGCAGGGGCCUCCUGUUGGCCAAGAAAAACCAGAAACCAGAGGAAAGGAAGCCUCAAGACACAGAGGUCAGAUGCCUUGGGCUGGAGACCGGAGCGAGGAGAGGGAUGCUGAGGACGAAGAAGAAGGACACAUCUGGCACUCGGUCAUUCGCAUGAAAAAUGGGUGAAGGACUUUCCUGUCUGUAUCUCUGCAUAUUCAUAUGCACGCUAAUAGGCACCAACACGAUUUCUGGAAUGAUAAGCACACAGUAGAAACUGGUGGAAACUUCUGAGAAGGAGAAGUUGCCUGCUUUCUGUGGUGUCACUUGAUCUACAGUUGAUUUUCGCCCCCUGUGCACUUACUAAAUAUUCAAUCCAUCCAUCACCAAUCAUUAACAGGAACUGCUGUUUUUGAACUUCUCAUGCUGGGGCUGGAAGGAAGAGGUCCUUCUCCUCUCCUGUGGUUGAGUUGCCAUCAGGAUGUGGGUCUAGGGCUGCAUGUGGCAAUAGCAGCUACCGAUUCUACGAUAACUUGCAUUCCUCCGAAACACACAAGUUACGGGUGGACUUCAUUUUUCAUCCCCAAUGGCAAUUUCAUCUAGUUCAAGCAAAUACACACCAGGUCCUCAAGGAGGGGGAUUAUGCAAGGUGUGUCCACCAGUGGGGUGGGAAUUUGGGAGCUCUUUUAGAAUUCUUCCCAUUUUAUCUACAUUAACUCACUUAAGCUCCAUAGCAACCCCAAAAGUGAAUAUUAUUGUUAUUUACUUCAUGCUACAGAUGUGACAGCAGGGAAAGAGUCCGGUUAAGAAACUUUUCCAACUUCACAUGGGGAGGGGGUGGGGGGAGAGCCCUCUGGUGCUCACCUGAUCCCCCCUCUGCUGCUGUGCGCUCUGGUGUGGAGGAGCCCGUCUACAUCAAGGGCAUGGUGGCCUGAGGGGGUAGGGUCCUGGCCCUCUCCUCUCUGAUGGGAGUACCACCUCAGCUUGGCCCUCGCUUCAGUACUAUCCGCCAGUCAAGGCCCUGACAUACUUAAGCAAAAGGAAGGGAAAUAUCUGGUCUUUGCAACAGACGUUACUGAAUUUCUAAAUUCAUAGUAAUGACUUGAAUAGUAGCGCCCAGAAAGACAUGUCUAAGCCUUGACCGUGGAACGUAUGCGUGUGGCUGGAUUGGAGAAGGGGCCUUUGCAGAUGUCAUUAAGUUGGGAAUCUUGACAUGGGAUCACCCUGGGUUUAGGGUGGACCCUAAAUCCAAUGACUGGUGUCCCUAUAAGAGAAAGACAGAGGGGGAUUUGAGGCACAGACGCAGGGGAGAAGCGGAUGUGAGGACAGAAGCAGAGCUUGGAGUAAGGCAGCCACAACCCAAGAACAGCUGGAGCCAUGAGAGACGGAAAAAGCAGGAAAGGGUCUUCCGCGAGAGCCUUCAGAGGGAGCACGGCCCAGCCAAUGCUUGAUUGAGGACCUAUGGCCUCAGGAGGCUGGCAUUGUUGUAAGUCCACCAAUGUGUGGUAAUUUGUUACAGCAGCCUGAGAAAACUCAUACACCCCAUUACCUUCUUGCCAGCUAUGUACAAAGGGGUAUCAGGAAUGGAGUAGAGGUCUGGGUAGAUACGAAGCAAGAUCUGGAUUUGGUUUUCUGUUGAUCCCAAAGAAGAAAGCGCUUUUACGAAUUCAGAGGUGGGGAGAAAGGGGUUGAGGAGGUGAAAGUUGAAGGGCAGGAGGGAAUUUUGGCUCAUUUAGAAGAUCAGAGAGAUUUCUAGAAUGGGGAGAAGGUAGAUAACCUUUCUAAUUUUCAGACUUUCUAUGAAUUUCUGUGGUAGACAGAAUUCUAAGAUGGCUUCCAAGACUCUGCCCUGAGCGUGGGUAGCUCUGUGAAUGAAACGGGUCACUCUCUUGAUUAUGUUACAUAUAGGACACCCAGCGGUGGCAGCCUGAAGAGAUUCUGCUGCUGGCUGUCUUUGGGAGAGGGCUGGGCGUCGAGGACCCGAGGGUGGCCUCUGGGAGAGGACCUCCAGCUGGUAGCCGGCAAAGAUAUGGGAAGCUCAGCUGAGGGCUGCUGAGGAACUGAAUUCUACGGACCCCCUGGAUGACUUGGAAGUGAAGUCUGAGCCUCAGGCGAGGCUGCAGCCCCAGCCCACACCUUGCCGAGGCGUCUGCGCAGAGGAUCCAGCUGACUGGUGCCCGUUCUCGUGGCCCAGCGGACGGAGACAUGACAGACGUGGGAGCAUCAGGCUGAGAGGUUUGUGGUGAUGUGUUCUGCAGCAAGAGGAAACAAUUGCAGUGUCCGACCACGGUGUCUCCCAAGUUGUAAAUGAGUAGAUGUCUCUGAGCCUGAGCCUUGAUUUUGUGGGGGUUUUAAUGACCCAAUAUUAAAAAUGGGUGUCUAUUUUUAGGUGGUGUUUUUAAAUGAAUCACACAUUCAUUUAAAAAAAAAUGUUUGAGGGGUGCCCUGGGUGGCUUAG